rnacentral:lncRNA from 1 species
UUUGACUUUUACCCUCAAAUAUCUCUGAGACCUGACCUGCUCUGCCUCUCACUGAUACUCCCCUGCCUGAGCUACCUGCUCCUCUCAAAACCUGGCAGAAUAAGAGCGAGUGCUGAACACCUCAGCACCAGACACGUUUAACGGACCUUUUUUUUUCUUUUUUCUACCAUCUCAUUAUAAAAAUUUCCUUAAAAAAUAGCGAAGCUUAAAAUAUUAUACAUCCAUAUAUACCCACCACCUAGAUUGUACCAUUAACACUUUACUUGCUUUAUUAUAUAUCCAUCCAUCUAUCCAUCCACAGGAAUUUUAAUGCCAGAAGAGCUCCCUGAAGCACCUUGUAAGUCACCAGCUCUGCUUCGGUUGUCAAAUGACCAAUAUUAUGCCUAACUGGAUGAGUAGGGAGCAGCAGUAAAACUACCUCCGGAAUCCAGUUCGUCAGAUGUCAGCAGAGGUCUCCAUGCUGGAAAGGAUGUGUUUUAAUGGGAAAGUGACCUAUCAUGCAGGAUAUCCAAGAAUACUUGACUGAAGAAAUCACUCAGAACGGCCUAGAAUUGUACGCAGGGUUGAAAAGACCAUAAGAAGUUGCAAUACGUAUUGGACUGCCGUAACAAACUGUCCUGAGUCCCUGCUUCUUUAGAGGGAGGCACCAAAAGAGCGCCCUCAAGAAUCCAGAGUGACUUCAAGGAAGCCGUCAUGGUGGAUAGCUCCCCCAAGUGGAUCAGUCCAGCUCAAACCCGAGGAGUAACAGCCCUGAGCCAGCUGUUUGCAGCACCAGGAUGGCAGUAACCUCUGUACAAAACAGUGACAUUUUUGAAGAUUUAUUUAUUUUAAGAGGGAGAGAGGAGAGAGAGGAUCCCAAGCAGACUCCCCACUGAGCGCAGAGCCCUACCAGGCGCCUGAUUCCACCCCCGUCCUGCCCCCCCGCUGCGCUCUGCUGGGAUCAUGACCUGAGCGGAAAUCAAGAGUCAGACGCCUACCAACUGAGCCACCCAGGCACCCCUCACAGGUGACAUUUUUAAACACAUGGUUAAACAA